GGUUAAGUGAAUAAGGGCGCACGGUGGAUGCCUUGGCACUAGGAGCCGAUGAAGGACGGGACUAACACCGAUAUGCUUUGGGGAGCUGUACGUAAGCUAUGAUCCAGAGAUUUCCGAAUGGGGGAACCCAGCAUCUUUAAUAGGAUGUUACGAUUGUGUGAAUACAUAGCACAUUCGAGGUAGACGCAGAGAACUGAAACAUCUAAGUACCUGCAGGAAGAGAAAGAAAAUUCGAUUCCCUGAGUAGCGGCGAGCGAAACGGGAAAAGCCCAAACCAACAAGCUUGCUUGUUGGGGUUGUAGGACUCCAAUAUGGUCGUUCUUUCAGAUAGUCGAAUGACUUGGAAAAGUCAGUCAAAGAGGGUAAAAACCCCGUAGACGAAAUGUGGAAGACACCUAGGAGGAUCCUGAGUACGGCGGAACACGAGAAAUUCCGUCGGAAUCCGGGAGGACCAUCU
rnacentral:rRNA from 2 species